UGAGCAAUCUGCCCUUCUCUUUGGAAUAAGCGUUGGAAACGACGUCUAAUGCCGAAUACGACCUCCUUUCGCAUGAUCGGAGGUGGAAAGCUCCGGCGGAGAAGGAUGAGCCCGCGGCCUAUCAGCUAGUUGGUGUGGGUAAUGGCCCACCAAGGCGACGACGGGUAGCCGGCCUGAGAGGGUGACCGGCCACACGUGGGACUGAGACACGGCCCAGACUCCGUACGGGNGCAGCGAGG
rnacentral:rRNA from 1 species